GCUACUAGAUCGAAAGGAACAAGUGAGGAUGCUGGAAGGUAUACUAGGCGAGGUGUUGGCUCUAGGUCAUCAACAGGUUCUGAUCCUUUCUUUGCCUCUCCCGCGACUUGCGUGGUAUCGAACUGCAAUUAUAGGAUUUGGCUAAAGUGCAGGUGGUUUAUAUUCAACUACCAGUGCUAUUGUUAGCUAAGCAACCGCCUCUGUCUCUAAUGCUUGGGGUAUAUUUGUGUUGAAGUUUCUUUACCCUGGUGCCUCCUUCUCGAGGUGUUGCUUACUCACUCCUCGGACUUUAUUACCCAAUACAUAUGGAUUGGGGGCUAGGGGUAACACAUGCCAACCCAGGGCGAAGGGAAGCAGGGACAGGCAAGGAUGCAGGAAUAGAUGGUUGUGAAUAAACCAGUACUUUGGCCGGGUCAACUUCACUCGGUCCUUCUGACUCCGCCUUUGCCUCUGCUUGCAUAAAGUUCCUGGGAUGGGAAGCCUAUUGCAUCCACACGUAGAGUCAUCAGUACCUUCCGGAAACUUAGUAGUAUGAUGAAGCUCUCCCCCUCCUCUUCCUCGCCCGUCUGGCGUGCCUUAGGUGGUGUUCUUUUCACGUGGGAUGAUCCCCGUGUCGUUGUGUUCCCUCGCCUCCCCCAGAUCUUUUUCUUUUUCACAUCCGCGCACACGCGCGCUUGUCUCUUAUACGAUGACAUGUAGUCUAUUGACCAUGCCUGCUAUUGCUCGUUCUUAUCCGAACCUUUAAAGGCUACUCAUGCAAAAAUUCUCCUAGUUGUUUUCCUUGUCACUAACCAUGGAUAAGUCUGAUUCCCCCACCGUAGCAGCUCUUCAGCCGUUUAACAAGCUAAAUAGAGAUUCCCCGACAUUCUAAGUGAGCAGACGAUUAAUCAAAAAAGUACGGGACCUGCGCUUUGAAUAGUGGGUUCUUUUUAGUUUCUUAAUCAGAACAUAUAGUUCACAACUCUCUCGAAAUGAAUGAGUAGGCUCUCCCAUUUUUCAAAAGUAUGGGUGCUUUCGCCUACGACUUUCUCAUCAUAGGUUUGUUUAAAGAGGUAGUGAUUCUAGGACUAGAGGUGAUAAAGUCGACCAAUGAUAGGCGAACAACUAACUUCUCUGGUGUCCGUCAAAGGAUUUGGAGGUAGGGGAUGACCUGUAAUUAAUCUGGCUGUUCG
rnacentral:lncRNA from 1 species